CAGGCGAUGAAGGACGCAGUAGCUUGCGAAAAGCUGCGGGGAGCUGGCAAACGAGCUUUGAUCCGCAGAUGUCCGAAUGGGGAAACCCGGCCCGAAUGGGUCAUCUGUUACUGAAUUCAUAGGUAACAGAGGCGAACGCAGUGAACUGAAACAUCUAA
rnacentral:rRNA from 1 species